GGUAACGCAAUCACUUGUCUUUUAAAUGGAGACCUGUAUGAAUGGUGGAACGAGGGCUUAACUGUCUCCCUCCCCCAGUCAAUGAAAUUGAUCUACCCGUGCAGAAGCGGGUAUUUACCUAUAAGACGAGAAGACCCUUUGGAGCUUAAGACAAAAGACCAACUGCACCAAGAACCCAAAUAAAAUGGCACCAAAUAAAAGCAACAACUGGCCCGCGUCUUCGGUUGGGGCGACCGUGGGGCACAACAAAACCCCCAUGCGGAAUGGGAAAACUCCUAAAACCAAGAGAGACAUCUCUAAGCCACAGAACAUCUGACCAUAAAGAUCCGGCAACAGCCGAUCAACGGACCAAGUUACCCUAGGGAUAACAGCGCAAUCCCCUUCGAAAGUCCAUAUCGACAAGGGGGUUUACGACCUCGAUGUUGGAUCAGGACAUCCUAACGGUGCAGCCGCUGUUAAGGGUUCGUUUGUUCAACGAUUAA
rnacentral:rRNA from 1 species